UCGCCUCGUAGAGUCCGCUGACUCCCGGCGUAUCGUUCCGGAACGGAUCCACCGUCGUCGGGGGACAUAGAACCGGAGGCUCGGCGUCGCUGAGGAAGCCGAAAGGAGGGUUGAGAUGGUCAUGUUGAAAUCCACGUGGAACACGAGGUUGUUGGUUUUGGACAUAGCAACAGAAUCAAUAGGGAUAAAAAAAAAAUGAGGUAUAUAAGAAAAAUAAAUGAAUAAAAUUUGUGGCAUUAUAGAGAAUAAACUUACCGACGCAACCUUGGCCAUUUCAACCAUGUAAUUUGAGGGGUUUUCCUGCAACAAAACAUUUUAAGAUGAAAUAAAUGAUUAACAAGAUAAAAUGCUAUUUAAGAGAGGAAAAACACACAUGAGCUGGACAUACCAGCUUUAAUUCAGUUGCUCUGUUCAAUAGCAUGAGGUCCCCAUAAGAAUGAGAUGUUUGGACGACAUUCAAAGACGUUGCUAUUGCAUGACUGGUCUGUAUUCACAACUAUACCAUGAGUACUAUUUUCCCACCAAUAAAAAGAAGAGCAAGUGCAUAAAAAAAUAAUCUCAAUCUCCACCAAACACAUACCUUCUGUGAGAGACGCACAGCAUUCUGUUUUUGAGUGUCACUCGGAUAGAUUACUGGAAGGUAUUCAACCUGUUUAAUUCCCAAAAAAUGAUCCAAAUAAGUGAAAUACUAAAAAAAUUACAUAAAAUGAAAAAUCAAUGAACUAAGCUUUUACUACCUCCAUGAAGUUGUGAAACUGAGUGAACAUUCUAAACAUGAGCAUCAACAAAGAAAUAUUCCCCCUGAAAAAAUCUUACAAACAUCAGUACUUUUUGGAGGAAGUAGAAAGUGUGUAUACAGACAGGGAAGAGACUCACCAGGAUUGAUCAAAAUGUACAUGGGGGUACCGGACUACUACAGGCUGAAUAGGGUAGCCUGGGAUGAAAGCGCCGAGCUGGAAGGAGAUAAGAACUUUCCCAUUGGUAGUGGUUCCUUCAGGGAAUAGCAGCAGACGGGGGAAUCUAUCGGAGGAGGCUUUUCUCUGUAUUUACAUAUCCUAGAAAGCACAUUGCGUAUCAAAUACAAAAAAACCAUUUGAAUCCUUUUCAACCACAAAAUGGUUCACAGAUCAUGUGUUUGAAUAAAGUUACUCAAUCUAAGAAAUUACGAUAGAUGCCACAUAAACUCUAUACCUUUAUUUCAUGCACAGCGUUCUUCCUUGAUUCUUGUGAGAAUCUAUUAACAUAUAUCACCUAAACAUAUUCAAAAACAAAAACUUUAGUGCAAACGACACACCAGCAUCUUAAAACAAGUAUGUACUAUGUGUGCUAGCUAUUUUGCUUACCUGCAUUGCCCUGAUAAUAGUUCCAACAAAAGGGAGUGAAUCAUGCGACUCCGAUGCAACAAUGGUGGGUGAUAGCUCAUAGAAGAAGAAGAUUGGUUCAAUAAAAGAAACAUGGUUUGACACAACAAUGGGAGCAAUAUCCCUGCGAGCAGGUUUCCCUUUCCGUCGUAUCCAAUGAUAACUGCAAGAGUAAGGAAGAUCAUUCAACACAAGAAUCUAUAUAUAUAUAUAUAUAAACAGCAUCAUGGAACAAACUAUCUAACACCAUUGAAACCAUUCACCGUCUUAAACCCACAACUAAAGUUUGCUUUUUAAAAAACUUAGUGUUCUAAAAAUCGGUCUAGGGGGCGCCAUAGAAUCUGAACUAAACAGUUUUCUCAAACCGAUUUUUUAAAAUCAGUCUAGGCGUUUAAAAAUUCGGUUUGGGCUCGCCUAAACAUUAAUUUAUCUAUAAGGCGUCUAACUACUGCCUAGGGACUUCAGAGAUGAACAUUAUUAAACUUGUAGACUUCAGAGAUGAGCAAAACUCUAUAUAUCUUAUAAACAACAUCAUGUAACAAACUAUCUAAAACCUUUUAAAACCAUUUCACCAUGUGAUAACCAAAGUUUCCAUUUUUAAACUCACCCAAAGGAGAAGAGGAUACAUCUGGUGCAGAUCCGAGUAACCCACAUGAUCCUACACCUCCAACAAGGCAUAGGAUUAUGCUUAUCUUUCCACCCAGCCAGCGCCAGCUUCGUCGCCACGUAACCAACAGCCAAGCUAGCACCAAAGAUAACAAGCCGAAGCAACGCGAUCGGGAGGCAAAUCACGAUCUUUAUCGCCUCGUAGAGUCCGCUGACUCCCGGCGUAUCGUUCCGGAACGGAUCCACCGUCGUCGGGGGACAUAGAACCGGAGGCUCGGCGUCGCUGAGGAAGCCGAAAGGAGGGUUGAGAUGGUCAUGUUGAAAUCCACGUGGAACACGAGGUUGUUGGUUUUGGUUUUGUUGACCAGCGGAGGGAUUAUAGUCUUCUUCUUCUUCUCCGUCGUCGUGGAUUGAGAUGACGACCUCUGGUUGAUGCUGGAUCAACGGAGACGAUAAAUCGGGAUCCGACAUCCUCGGUGUGUCUGUCUG
rnacentral:lncRNA from 1 species